GUGUCAGCAGCCGCGGUAAUACGUAGGGUGCAAGCGUUGUCCGGAAUUAUUGGGCGUAAAGAGCUCGUAGGCGGUCUGUCACGUCGGCUGUGAAAACCCGAGGCUCAACCCCGGGCCUGCAGUCGAUACGGGCAGACUAGAGUUCGGUAGGGGAGACUGGAAUUCCUGGUGUAGCGGUGAAAUGCGCAGAUAUCAGGAGGAACACCGGUGGCGAAGGCGGGUCUCUGGGCCGAAACUGACGCUGAGGAGCGAAAGCGUGGGGAGCAAACAGGAUUAGAUACCCGUGUAGUCC
rnacentral:rRNA from 1 species